rfam:Camelus ferus unplaced genomic scaffold scaffold418, whole genome shotgun sequence.
GGGGGUAUAGCUCAAGUGGUAGAGCACGAGCUUAGCAUGCAUGAGGUCCUGGGUUCAGUCCCCAGUACCUCCA